CCUACGGGUGGCAGCAGUGGGGAAUAUUGCUCAAUGGGCGAAACCCUGAUGCAGCGACGCCGCGUGAGUGAAGAAGUUAUUCGUUAUGUAAAGCUCUAUUUGUAGGGAAGAACAUGCCGGUACCUGAGUAAGAAUCCCCGGAUAAUUACGAGCCAGCAGCCGCGGUAAUACGUAGGGGGCAAGCGUUAUCCGGAUUUUAUGGGUGUAAAGGGAGCGUAGACGGUUGGGCAAGUAUGGAGUGAAAGGCGGGGGCUCAACCCCCGGAGUGCUCUGGAAACUGUACGGCUGGAGUGCAGAAGAGGAAAGUGGAAUUCCAUGUGUAGCGGUGAAAUGCGUAGAUAUUAGGAGGAACACCAGUGGCGAAGGCGGCUUACUGGUCUGUAACUGACGUUGAGGCUCGAAAGCGUGGGGAGCAAACAGGAUUAGAUACCCUUGUAGUC
rnacentral:rRNA from 1 species